rnacentral:rRNA from 1 species
UUAAGCGACUAAGCGUACACGGUGGAUGCCCUGGCAGUCAGAGGCGAUGAAGGACGUGCUAAUCUGCGAAAAGCGUCGGUAAGGUGAUAUGAACCGUUAUAGCCGGCGAUGUCCGAAUGGGGAAACCCAGUGCAAUUCGUUGCACUAUCGUUAACUGAAUACAUAGGUUAACGAGGCGAACCGGGGGAACUGAAACAUCUAAGUACCCCGAGGAAAAGAAAUCAACCGAGAUUCCCCCAGUAGCGGCGAGCGAACGGGGAGCAGCCCAGAGUCUGAAUCAGCUUGUGUGUUAGUGGAACGGUCUGGAAAGUCCGACGGUACAGGGUGAUAGUCCCGUACACCAAAAUGCACAGGUUGUGAACUCGAAGAGUAGGGCGGGACACGUGGUAUCCUGUCUGAAUAUGGGGGGACCAUCCUCCAAGGCUAAAUACUCCUGACUGACCGAUAGUGAACCAGUACCGUGAGGGAAAGGCGAAAAGAACCCCGGCGAGGGGAGUGAAAAAGAACCUGAAACCGUGUACGUACAAGCAGUGGGAGCACCUUCGGGUGUGACUGCGUACCUUUUGUAUAAUGGGUCAGCGACUUAUAUUCUGUAGCAAGGUUAACCGUAUAGGGGAGCCGCAGGGAAACCGAGUCUUAACUGGGCGUUAAGUUGCAGGGUAUAGACCCGAAACCCGGUGAUCUAGCCAUGGGCAGGUUGAAGGUUGGGUAACACUAACUGGAGGACCGAACCGACUAAUGUUGAAAAAUUAGCGGAUGACUUGUGGCUGGGGGUGAAAGGCCAAUCAAACCGGGAGAUAGCUGGUUCUCCCCGAAAGCUAUUUAGGUAGCGCCUCGUGAAUUCAUCUUCGGGGGUAGAGCACUGUUUCGGCUAGGGGGUCAUCCCGACUUACCAACCCGAUGCAAACUACGAAUACCGAAGAAUGUUAUCACGGGAGACACACGGCGGGUGCUAACGUCCGUCGUGAAGAGGGAAACAACCCAGACCGCCAGCUAAGGUCCCAAAGUCAUGGUUAAGUGGGAAACGAUGUGGGAAGGCACAGACAGCCAGGAUGUUGGCUUAGAAGCAGCCAUCAUUUAAAGAAAGCGUAAUAGCUCACUGGUCGAGUCGGCCUGCGCGGAAGAUGUAACGGGGCUAAACCAUGCACCGAAGCUGCGGCAGCGACACUAUGUGUUGUUGGGUAGGGGAGCGUUCUGUAAGCCUGCGAAGGUGACCUGUGAGGGUUGCUGGAGGUAUCAGAAGUGCGAAUGCUGACAUAAGUAACGAUAAAGCGGGUGAAAAGCCCGCUCGCCGGAAGACCAAGGGUUCCUGUCCAACGUUAAUCGGGGCAGGGUGAGUCGACCCCUAAGGCGAGGCCGAAAGGCGUAGUCGAUGGGAAACAGGUUAAUAUUCCUGUACUUGGUGUUACUGCGAAGGGGGGACGGAGAAGGCUAUGUUAGCCGGGCGACGGUUGUCCCGGUUUAAGCAUGUAGGCUGAUUGUCCAGGCAAAUCCGGAUAAUCAAGGCUGAGGUGUGAUGACGAGGCACUACGGUGCUGAAGUAACAAAUGCCCUGCUUCCAGGAAAAGCCUCUAAGCAUCAGGUAACAUUAAAUCGUACCCCAAACCGACACAGGUGGUCAGGUAGAGAAUACCAAGGCGCUUGAGAGAACUCGGGUGAAGGAACUAGGCAAAAUGGUGCCGUAACUUCGGGAGAAGGCACGCUGGUGUGUAGGUGAAGUCCCUGCGGAUGGAGCUGAGACCAGUCGAAGAUACCAGCUGGCUGCAACUGUUUAUUAAAAACACAGCACUGUGCAAACACGAAAGUGGACGUAUACGGUGUGACGCCUGCCCGGUGCCGGAAGGUUAAUUGAUGGGGUUAUCCGUAAGGAGAAGCUCUUGAUCGAAGCCCCGGUAAACGGCGGCCGUAACUAUAACGGUCCUAAGGUAGCGAAAUUCCUUGUCGGGUAAGUUCCGACCUGCACGAAUGGCGUAAUGAUGGCCAGGCUGUCUCCACCCGAGACUCAGUGAAAUUGAACUCGCUGUGAAGAUGCAGUGUACCCGCGGCAAGACGGAAAGACCCCGUGAACCUUUACUAUAGCUUGACACUGAACAUUGAGCCUUGAUGUGUAGGAUAGGUGGGAGGCUUUGAAGCGUGGACGCCAGUCUGCGUGGAGCCAACCUUGAAAUACCACCCUUUAAUGUUUGAUGUUCUAACGUUGGCCCCUGACCGGGGUUGCGGACAGUGUCUGGUGGGUAGUUUGACUGGGGCGGUCUCCUCCCAAAGCGUAACGGAGGAGCACGAAGGUUAGCUAAUCCUGGUCGGACAUCAGGAGGUUAGUGCAAUGGCAUAAGCUAGCUUGACUGCGAGCGUGACGGCGCGAGCAGGUGCGAAAGCAGGUCAUAGUGAUCCGGUGGUUCUGAAUGGAAGGGCCAUCGCUCAACGGAUAAAAGGUACUCCGGGGAUAACAGGCUGAUACCGCCCAAGAGUUCAUAUCGACGGCGGUGUUUGGCACCUCGAUGUCGGCUCAUCACAUCCUGGGGCUGAAGUAGGUCCCAAGGGUAUGGCUGUUCGCCAUUUAAAGUGGUACGCGAGCUGGGUUUAGAACGUCGUGAGACAGUUCGGUCCCUAUCUGCCGUGGGCGCUGGAGAAUUGAGGGGGGCUGCUCCUAGUACGAGAGGACCGGAGUGGACGCAUCACUGGUGUUCGGGUUGUCAUGCCAAUGGCACUGCCCGGUAGCUAAAUGCGGAAGAGAUAAGUGCUGAAAGCAUCUAAGCACGAAACUUGCCCCGAGAUGAGUUCUCCCUGAGACUUUAAGUCUCCUGAAGGAACGUUGAAGACGACGACGUUGAUAGGCCGGGUGUGUAAGCGCAGCGAUGCGUUGAGCUAACCGGUACUAAUGAACCGUGAGGCUUAACCUU